rnacentral:rRNA from 1 species
UUGAACGCUGGCGGCAGGCCUAACACAUGCAAGUCGAACGGUAACAGGAAGCAGCUUGCUGCUUUGCUGACGAGUGGCGGACGGGUGAGUAAUGUCUGGGAAACUGCCCGAUGGAGGGGGAUAACUACUGGAAACGGUAGCUAAUACCGCAUAACGUCGCAAGACCAAAGAGGGGGACCUUAGGGCCUCUUGCCAUCGGAUGUGCCCAGAUGGGAUUAGCUAGUAGGUGGGGUAAUGGCUCACCUAGGCGACGAUCCCUAGCUGGUCUGAGAGGAUGACCAGCCACACUGGAACUGAGACACGGUCCAGACUCCUACGGGAGGCAGCAGUGGGGAAUAUUGCACAAUGGGCGCAAGCCUGAUGCAGCCAUGCCGCGUGUAUGAAGAAGGCCUUCGGGUUGUAAAGUACUUUCAGCGGGGAGGAAGGGAGUAAAGUUAAUACCUUUGCUCAUUGACGUUACCCGCAGAAGAAGCACCGGCUAACUCCGUGCCAGCAGCCGCGGUAAUACGGAGGGUGCAAGCGUUAAUCGGAAUUACUGGGCGUAAAGCGCACGCAGGCGGUUUGUUAAGUCAGAUGUGAAAUCCCCGGGCUCAACCUGGGAACUGCAUCUGAUACUGGCAAGCUUGAGUCUCGUAGAGGGGGGUAGAAUUCCAGGUGUAGCGGUGAAAUGCGUAGAGAUCUGGAGGAAUACCGGUGGCGAAGGCGGCCCCCUGGACGAAGACUGACGCUCAGGUGCGAAAGCGUGGGGAGCAAACAGGAUUAGAUACCCUGGUAGUCCACGCCGUAAACGAUGUCGACUUGGAGGUUGUGCCCUUGAGGCGUGGCUUCCGGAGCUAACGCGUUAAGUCGACCGCCUGGGGAGUACGGCCGCAAGGUUAAAACUCAAAUGAAUUGACGGGGGCCCGCACAAGCGGUGGAGCAUGUGGUUUAAUUCGAUGCAACGCGAAGAACCUUACCUGAUCUUGACAUCCACGGAAGUUUUCAGAGAUGAGAAUGUGCCUUCGGGAACCGUGAGACAGGUGCUGCAUGGCUGUCGUCAGCUCGUGUUGUGAAAUGUUGGGUUAAGUCCCGCAACGAGCGCAACCCUUAUCCUUUGUUGCCAGCGGUCCGGCCGGGAACUCAAAGGAGACUGCCAGUGAUAAACUGGAGGAAGGUGGGGAUGACGUCAAGUCAUCAUGGCCCUUACGACCAGGGCUACACACGUGCUACAAUGGCGCAUACAAAGAGAAGCGACCUCGCGAGAGCAAGCGGACCUCAUAAAGUGCGUCGUAGUCCGGAUUGGAGUCUGCAACUCGACUCCAUGAAGUCGGAAUCGCUAGUAAUCGUGGAUCAGAAUGCCACGGUGAAUACGUUCCCGGGCCUUGUACACACCGCCCGUCACACCAUGGGAGUGGGUUGCAAAAGAAGUAGGUAGCUUAACCUUCGGGAGGGCGCUUACCACUUUGUGAUUCAUGACUGGGGUG